ensembl:lncRNA
GGGGUGUGUAGGGUGUGUAGGGGUGUGUAGGGUAGUGUAGGGUGUGUAGGGUGUGUAGGGUGUGUAGGGGUGUGUAGGGUGUGUAGGGGUGUGUAGGGUGUGUAGGGUGUGUAGGGGUGUGUAGGGUGUGUAGGGGUGUGUAGGGUGUGUAGGGUGUGUAGGGUGUGUAGGGGUGUGUAGGGGUGUGUAGGGUGUGUAGGGGUGUGUAGGGUGUGUAGGGAUGUGUAGGGUGUGUAGGGUGUGAAGGUGUGUAGGUGUGUAAGGUGUGCAGGGUGUGUAGGGGUGUGUAGGGUGUGUAGGGGUGUGUAGGUGUGUAGGGUGUGUAAAGUGUGUAGGUGUGUACGGUGUGUAGGGUGUGUAAAGUGUGUAGGGUGUGUAGGUGUGUACGGUGUGUAGGGUGUGUAGGGUGUGUAGGUGUGUAGGGUGUGUAGGUGUGUGUAGGUGUGUGUAUGUGUGUGUACGCGU